rnacentral:rRNA from 1 species
UACGGAAGGCAGCAGUGGGGAAUAUUGCACAAUGGGCGCAAGCCUGAUGCAGCCAUGCCGCGUGUAUGAAGAAGGCCUUCGGGUUGUAAAGUACUUUCAGUCGUGAGGAAGGUGUUAAGGUUAAUAACCUUAGCAAUUGACGUUAGCGACAGAAGAAGCACCGGCUAACUCCGUGCCAGCAGCCGCGGUAAUACGGAGGGUGCGAGCGUUAAUCGGAAUUACUGGGCGUAAAGGGCACGCAGGCGGUUAAUUAAGUUGGAUGUGAAAUCCCCGGGCUUAACCUGGGAAUGGCAUUCAAGACUGGUUAGCUAGAGUCUUGUAGAGGGGGUAGAAUUCCAUGUGUAGCGGUGAAAUGCGUAGAGAUGUGGAGAAAUACCGGUGGCGAAGGCGGCCCCUGGGACAAAGACUGACGCUCAUGUGCGAAAGCGUGGGGAGCAAACAGGAUUAGAUACC